rfam:Clostridium sp. SY8519 DNA, complete genome.
GCUAACGUGGCUCAGUUGGUAGAGCAAUUGAUUCGUAAUCAAUAGGUCGUCGGUUCGAGUCCGAUCGUUAGCU